rnacentral:rRNA from 1 species
UACAGAGGUCCCAAGCGUUGUUCGGAUUCAUUGGGCAUAAAGGGUGCGUAGGCGGCGCGGUAAGUCGGGUGUGAAAUCUCGGGGCUUAACUCCGAAACUGCAUUCGAUACUGCCGUGCUUGAGGACUGGAGAGGAGACUGGAAUUUACGGUGUAGCAGUGAAAUGCGUAGAGAUCGUAAGGAAGACCAGUGGCAAAGGCGGGUCUCUGGACAGUUCCUGACACUGAGGCACGAAGGCCAGGGGAGCAAACGGG